AACAAAGCUUAGCCCGACUUCUAAACUCACGAGCAGAAGCUUCCCUGCAAGAGGACUGGAUAUCUCAGGGGUUGAUGUCCCGUUCCGGGAGCUGUACCCCGGGAGGUCGUGGCGGUUUGAAGACAAAGAAAGAGAACAGCGCACAGCACGUGCAAAGGGAACCGGGGACUAAAAGGGAAGGGUGCGUUCAGAGGGAGGAAAUCUCAGCGGCGUCUACUCGCUCCAGUAUAUUUGGAAAGAUCAGCUCCUCAGCCCGAGGGACGGUUCGUUGACCUGCUGUCAGCCGUGAUACAAAUUCAGAGUCCAACGUCGAUAUGCAUCUCAUCGCCUAUCGAAAGACAGUUUCAGACAUCCAGUUACUUACACCUAAACGAUUUACAAAUAGCUAUUUUCUCUAUUGAAAACUCUCUGUAUUUAAAAUAUAAUAUGCACAGUAAAGAAUAUUUCACAAAAUGUUCACAUUUAAAAUUAAAUUUGAGAACUUUUUUGUUUUCUAUACAAUUAAAUAUUGUGCUUUAACAGUGAGUUCAUUUGCAAUCAGACUGAUUAUUAUAGCUUUACUGUUAUAACGUUAAUAAUAUCUUUUUUCAAUAAAC